AGCUCUCAACGGUGGAUAUCUCGGCUCUCUUUACGAUGAAGAACGCGGCAAAAAGCGAAAUGUAGUGUGAACUGCAAGUUUUCGUGAAUCAU
rnacentral:rRNA from 1 species